UCCCUAGGGGGUGCAGCAGGCGAGAAACCUUAGCAAUGUGCGAAAGCACGACUGGGUCAGUCCGAGUGAUUCCCGAUAAAGGAGUCUUUUGCCUGUCCUAAAAGCACAGGUGGAUAAGGGGUGGGCAAGUCUGGUGUCAGCCGCCGCGGUAAUACCAGCACCUCGAGUGGUCAGGACGUUUAUUGGGCCUAAAGCAUCCGUAGCCGGCUCUGCAAGUCUUCGGUCAAAUCCACCUGCUCAACAGAUGGGCCGCUGGAGAUACUACAGAGCUAGGGAGUGGGAGAGGCAGACGGUAUUCAGUGGGUAGGGGUAAAAUCCUCUGAUCCAUUGAGGACCACCAGUGGCGAAGACGGUCUGCCAGAACACGUUCGACGGUGAGGGAUGAAAGCUGGGGGAGCAAACCGGAUUAGAUACCCGGGUAGUCCCAGCUGUAAACGAUGCAAACUCGGUGAUGCAUUGGCUUAUGGCCAAUGCAGUGCCGCAGGGAAGCCGUUAAGUUUGCCGCCUGGGAAGUACGGACGCAAGUCUGAAACUUAAAGGAAUUGGCGGGGGAGCACCACAAGGGGUGAAGCCUGCGGUUCAAUUGGAGUCAACGCCAGGAAUCUUACCCGGGGAGACAGCAGAAUGAAGGUCAAGCUGAAGACUUUACCAGACAAGCUGAGAGGAAGUGCAUGGCCA
rnacentral:rRNA from 1 species